ensembl:lncRNA
AAAAUUACAAUGAAAUCCAUUUUAAUCACACACAAAAGUUGAGGGGUGUAUAUACAUUCUGUACACACUGUAUCGAUGCUUUAAAAAGUGUGAUGCGUCUUGCUGUCUUCAGAAGCCAACUCCAAUCUCUCUGUGGUUUGUGGGUGGAAGCACAUCAUGCAUCUUUUUUGAGCUAGCUCUCAUGUGUAUGACAGUUUAACUUUUGAUCGGUCUGGCAAGCUAUGGCAUGAUGGUAAACUGGCUGAUUUUUAAGAGAAAUUCCACAGAAAAACUGUUAUUCUCAAGAUGUCCCCUCCAACUGGUUAUUCUCCUAUUGACCUUGAGCACCACAACACAUUCAGGCAGGCCUGAAGUCCCAGGAGAAGGUAUAUGGGCUAUAUUAAACAAACCCAUACAGUUUUCUGGAUCCAGUAUACCUUUGAAACUAAUCAAAACAGUGGAAUGGCGUCACAAAAGUGGAAACUCCCAGACAUUCUGUCUUCUCCAUAAAAUGGAUGGGAACAUCACCAACAUAUUUCCUGCAUGCAAUGGCACUGCACACUUCCUUUCCCACAAUAAAACCUUUGUUCUAUACUCAGUGAGGGCAGAGGAUGAAGGUGUCUAUGAAGAAAGAGUGAUUUAUAAGAAUAACACUAUGGUCUCAUUAAAUAUAUCACUGUCAAUAAUUUCUCCUCCCUCCACCCUGCACAUCAGCGUAAACUUCUCCCAUGCGCUGCUAACAACGACCUGUGAGGUCAAGGGGUCAAACCUCUCCUAUUGGUGGCUGAAGGAUGACCAGCCCUUCCUCACGGAUUCCAGAUUGUUAUUGGGUGAGAGAAACCAAACCUUACAGGUGAACAACCUGACCAAGGCUGACUGUGGGAAAUACACCUGCUUGGUGGCCAACAAGGCAGGCCUGUCACGGGGCCACUUCCAACUCACAGAUAACCAAUCCUCUGUGUGUAAGGAUGGAAUUGUCCGAGCCACACUGCCGAUAGGCCAGAGAGAAGUUCUAAUCAUGGUAAUAUUGGGCAUCUGCAUAUUCGGCCUGCUCAUCAUCAUUGCCUGCAUCAGGAGAUAUCACCAGGAAAUACGGAAGCAUCUGGCAGGACUUUGCAACAAGGAGCAGCAUCCUGUCAGAAACAGGAGAGGAAGGAGAGACAGAGACACCCCUGUGUCCGAAAAUCAUGUGUAUGAUGAGAUUGGAGAUGAAGAGGAGCAGCUUGAACAAGAGGUGGUGAUCCCAUUGCCAUGCGUCUACACAGACUUCCUUCCAAACAGAAAACAAGCAGAGCCCCUAAAGGACUUUGGGUACUCCACCAUUGGGCCAGCUAGCCUAAGCGGAGUCACAGUGAUCGAGGCAAGCGAACAAGGUCUUGAAUGAUGCUGGUGGGCGGAGUUGGGAGGGUCAUCAGCUACAUGGGAAACAACUGGGCCCGGUGUCUCCCAGGAUAAAUACACCACUUCCCCAUUCAUGGAAGAGACUCUCUCCAUGCAGAUACUUUGAUAGUUUUUGUUGUGUUUCUAGCACCUUUCAACACCCUGCAUUAUCACAUUCAUGCAUGCAAAACACUCACUUACACUACUGAUUACUGAUUACACACACGAUUGUAUAUUUUCCUUAGUUGCUUUACUUAAUAAAUAUAUAUUUUGUUACUCCUUAUCUCCACGUUGUCUCCCUUUUGUUACGGGCUUUGAGCCAGUUCGUGACAGACCUGACCAAGAUAAAGCAUAGCAGUGUGAACAGACAACACCACAGAGUUACACAUGGAGUAAACAAUAAACAAGUCAUUAACAGUAGAAAAAAGAGUCUAUAUACAUUGUGUGCAAAAGGCAUGAGGAGGUAGGCAAAUAAUUACAAUUUAGCAGAUUAACACUGGAGUGAUAAAUGAUCAGAUGGUAAUGUGCAGGUAGAUACUGGUGUGCAAAAGAGCAGAAA